GUGGGGAAUAUUGGGCAAUGGGCGCAAGCCUGACCCAGCAACGCCGCGUGAAGGAAGAAGGCUUUCGGGUUGUAAACUUCUUUUAAGAGGGAAGAGCAGAAGACUGUACCUCUAGAAUAAGCCACGGCUAACUACGUGCCAGCAGCCGCGGUAAUACGUAGGUGGCAAGCGUUGUCCGGAUUUACUGGGUGUAAAGGGCGUGCAGCCGGGAAUGCAAGUCAGAUGUGAAAUCCAUGGGCUUAACCCAUGAACUGCAUUUGAAACUGUAUUUCUUGAGUACUGGAGAGGCAAUCGGAAUUCCUAGUGUAGCGGUGAAAUGCGUAGAUAUUAGGAGGAACACCAGUGGCGAAGGCGGAUUGCUGGACAGCAACUGACGGUGAGGCGCGAAAGUGUGGGGAGCAAACAGGAUUAGAAACCCCAGUAGUCC
rnacentral:rRNA from 1 species